UCCUAGUUUCCUAGGCAGUCCCAUCAGAGUGCUCCCGAAGGAUAGCAACUGACGGCAAGAGUUGCGCUCGUUAGAGGACUUAACCGAACAUCUCACGACACGAGCUGACGACAGCCAUGCAGCACCUGUGUAUCUGUCUGAAUCAAAGACCCAAAAAACCAUGUUUCCAUGGCGGUCAAAUACAUGUCAAGCCUAGGUAAGGUUCCUCGCGUAGUGUCGAAUUAAACCACAUGUUCCACCGCUUGUGCGGACCCCCGUCAAUUCCUUUGAGUUUUAGUCUUGCGACCGUAAUCCCCAGGUGGAUCACUUAACGCGUUAGCUACGACACCAGCUUCGCGAUUGAAGCUGACGUCUAGUGAUCAUCGUUUAGGGCGUGGACUAC
rnacentral:misc_RNA from 1 species